CGCGUAGGUGGCUAAUUAAGUCAAAUGUGAAAUCCCCGAGCUUAACUUGGGAAUUGCAUUCGAUACUGGUUGGCUAGAGUAUGGGAGAGGAUGGUAGAAUUCCAGGUGUAGCGGUGAAAUGCGUAGAGAUCUGGAAGAAUACCAAUGGCGAAGGCAGCCUACCAGCAGAUGACUGACGCUGAGGUGCGAAGGUGUGGGGAGCAAACAGGAUUAGAUACCCCUGUA
rnacentral:rRNA from 1 species